UACGGAGGGUGCAAGCGUUAUCCGGAAUUAUUGGGCGUAAAGCGUCCGCAGGUGGUUUGUUAAGUCAGAUAUUAAAGACGGCAGCUCAACUGUCGGAAUGUAUCUGAUACUGGCAGGCUAGAGUCUUGGAGGGGUAAGCAGAAUUCUGCAUGUAGGGGUAAAAUCCGUAGAUAUGCAGAGGAAUACCAAAAGCGAAGGCAGCUUACUGGCCAAGUACUGACACUCAUGGACGAAAGCGUGGGGAGCAAACAGG
rnacentral:misc_RNA from 1 species